UAUCACUUAAAGCGAUUCAGCGGGUUACGAUUGACGGAGCGAAGCGACGUCAAAGCGUAUACAAAGUCGAGUCGGUUUAAGGAUACGUUCGUUGGGUAGGGGAGCGUUCUGUAAGCCUGUGAAGGUGGCCUGUGAGGGUUGCUGGAGGUAUCAGAAGUGCGAAUGCUGACAUAAGUAACGAUAAAGCGGGUGAAAAGCCCGCUCGCCGGAAGACCAA
rnacentral:rRNA from 2 species